GUCGAACGGAAAGGCCCUUCGGGGUACUCGAGUGSCGAACGGGUGAGUAACACGUGGGUGAUCUGCCCUGCACUUUGGGAUAAGCCUGGGAAACUGGGUCUAAUACCGAAUACACCUUGCUGGAUGCAUGUCUGGUGGGGGAAAGCUUUUGCGGUGUGGGAUGGGCCCGCGGCCUAUCAGCUUGUUGGUGAGGUUACGGCUCACCAAGGCGACGACGGGUAGCCGGCCUGAGAGGGUGUCCGGCCACACUGGGACUGAGAUACGGCCCAGACUCCUACGGGAGGCAGCAGUGGGGAAUAUUGCACAAUGGGCGCAAGCCUGAUGCAGCGACGCCGCGUGAGGGAUGACGGCCUUCGGGUUGUAAACCUCUUUCGCCAGGGACGA
rnacentral:rRNA from 1 species